AGGACGAACGCUGGCGGCGUGCUUAACACAUGCAAGUCGAGCGGUAAGGCCUUUCGGGGUACACGAGCGGCGAACGGGUGAGUAACACGUGGGUGAUCUGCCCUGCACUCUGGGAUAAGCCUGGGAAACUGGGUCUAAUACCGGAUAUGACCUGCUCUCGCAUGGGGGUGGGUGGAAAGAUUUAUCGGUGCAGGAUGGGCCCGCGGCCUAUCAGCUUGUUGGUGGGGUAAUGGCCUACCAAGGCGACGACGGGUAGCCGACCUGAGAGGGUGACCGGCCACACUGGGACUGAGACACGGCCCAGACUCCUACGGGAGGCAGCAGUGGGGAAUAUUGCACAAUGGGCGAAAGCCUGAUGCAGCGACGCCGCGUGAGGAUGAAGGCCUUCGGGUUGUAAACCUCUUUCAGCAGGACGAAGCGCAAGUGACGGUACCUGCAGAAGAAGCACCGGCUAACUACGUGACCAGCCAGCCGC
rnacentral:rRNA from 1 species